rnacentral:rRNA from 1 species
UAGGGAAUCUUCCGCAAUGGACGAAAGUCUGACGGAGCAACGCCGCGUGAACGAAGAAGGUUUUCGGAUCGUAAAGUUCUGUUGUUAGGGAAGAACAAGUACCGUUUGAAUAAGGCGGUACCUUGACGGUACCUAUCGAGAAAGCCCCGGCUAACUACGUGCCAGCAGCCGCGGUAAUACGUAGGGGGCAAGCGUUGUCCGGAUUUAUUGGGCGUAAAGCGCGCGUAGGCGGUUUCUUAAGUCUGAUGUGAAAUCUUGCGGCUCAACCGCAAGCGGUCAUUGGAAACUGGGGAACUUGAGUGCAGAAGAGGAGAGUGGAAUUCCACGUGUAGCGGUGAAAUGCGUAGAGAUGUGGAGGAACACCAGUGGCGAAGGCGACUCUCUGGUCUGUAACUGACGCUGAGGUGCGAAAGCGUGGGUAGCGAACA